CGUAGUUAGCCGGCGCUUCUUCUGCAGGUACAGUCACUUUCGCUUCGUCCCUGCUGAAAGAGGUUUACAACCGAAGGCCGUCAUCCCUCACGCGGCGUUGCUGCGUCAGGCUUUCGCCCAUUGCGCAAUAUUC
rnacentral:rRNA from 1 species